UUUUGUUUUAGCCUUGAUUUUCCUUUUUUUAUUUGUCACUUAAAAAAAAAAUCUUUCCCUUUCUUUUCCAUUAUCCUAUGGAAGAUGCUUUAUUACUACGAUAGUAAAAAUAGAAUUAGCUGGGAAGUGGGAUUUUUCUAGCCCUAAAUCUUGCUACUACAGCAUCUAGGUGAAUCCCUUUCAUCACAGGAUUUUGAGAGGCUUAUUCACUUUCCCAUUUGUAAAAAGAACCACCAACUGGAAGUACAGUGUGAGCCAGUGAUAUGCAAGUUCUGUCUGGAACAGUUUUUCAAUUGGCUACGUGUAGCUCUUGAAAUUGAGGUUUGUAUCUUUCGUAUUUGUUUUUUUAGGUCUGAUGUCAUUACCAACUGGACUUCCUAACCUGACCAGUCUAUCCAGUCUGAAUUUACCUGCACCACCCAUCAUUCCUGGUGCUGGAUUAUCAGAUAUCAUACAUCCUGGUUUGCCACCGCUUCCUUCCUUGCCACCUCUAAAUCUAUCUGGAAUAACACCUCUCUCAAUGCCACCUGAGUUUCUUGCACAAUUUCCUUUGGUCCCAGAGGUAUCUGCUCCACCUGCAGAUCUGCUUCCCCAUAGCACUACUGUAAGUGUAGAACAAACCUCUGCACUCACCUUGGAUACUGCUAUCCCUACUUCUAAGGCAACUCCUGUUGAUGACAGAUCAAAUGAAUCUACUACAGUAAAUGAAAAAACAUCCGCAGUCACAGCUGUACAUACUUCAGAAUCAUCAUAACUUCAAAUCAUUCUGUUGGAGUGUCUUGGUAAAUUUAGCCACGGGAUGCAUAUUUGAAGAUGCAAACUACCAUUAAUUUCAUAUUAGUUUGUACUUUAUCCGUAGGAGUCCUGUAAAUAAUACUGAGGAUAAAUAAAUAUAAGGAAAUGGGAUUUAUACUGUGUGUUGAAUGGGAGGGGAAGAAAAAGGCUUGGUAUUUAAAACAACCAAAAAGAAGCAUCAUGGUAGUAAAAUAGACUUCCACUGCCCAACUUGCAGGUUUAACAGGCUGACAGCCUCCACAACUUUUGCUUCUGUUAGAAAUGAAGCAGGUUUGUGAGACAAUUACAUACCAUAUUUCUUGUUCUUUUCAAGUAUAGAAACCUUGUGGCUACAGUGGGGGGAGGGGGGAUAGGGAGGAGUGUUUACUUUUGUUUUAGUUGUAAAUUUUAGCAUUACAAAACUUCCAACUAAAAAUGUUUUAUUAAAGUUACUGAAUGAUCUAUCAAUUGAGCAUCUUUUCAUUUAGCUUGUAUGCAGAUCUUUAUCUUAAACUUUUAAGAAAAAAUAGUCGGGCAACAUUUUGUAACUGCUGCUGGAUUGCUUUACGCCCCCACUGUAUAAUGGUCUUUGGAAGAAAAUGAAUGUUAAAUGUUGCACAGUUUUAAAACCAGAAGGUGGCACUUUGACUAUUGUAAGAUAAGUUACACAGAGGAAAACAUACAUACAGCAAUAAAGUCCUGGAAUUUUAUUCUGAGACCAAAAUAGCACAAUAUUUUUGUUCAGUGUGUAAGACGUGACAACUUUCUGUUCACUUUUCAGUGUCUUGUUUUUUCUCUACCCUAGAGAAAGUAGGGUUUCUUUGUCACACAAAAGGAUGGGAGGCAUGACCUAGUACUAGUGAUGCAUUUAGCACUGGUAAGUCUCAUCUCAGAAUGAUCUUUGUGGCACAGACUUGCAUUUCAGUUGCUUCUCAGGAUGAAGGGGCUUGUUUUGACUCUGUUACAUCAAUAAAGUGCUUUACAAAACGUAGCAGGGUUGCUUCAUCUACUGUUGAAGUGCAAAUCUCUCCUUGUCAUUGUGCAAGAGCUGCAUCUUCACAUACAUGAAGUGUAUCAGUUUCAUUUUUCUACAAGUAUUAUAUUCGUAUUGCUCAAAGGUGGUUCUCAAUCUUAGUGCCUCGGGGGGAAUAUUUUUGCCUGAUUUGCACUUGAGCAGGAUGCAUUGAAACUCUGUCUGAUCUAAUCAGGCAGCCCAGGACUGAAAAUCACCUUAUCACACCCUUCCCAACCACCAGCAAGAGAAGACUUGCUGAUGCUUAACUGGGUGCCAGCUCCCUGCCAUAACCACCUCAACAAUCUUCUCAGACCUAUGCCAACUCGCUUAGCAGUGCAGGUUAAAAAAUACAUGCACCCUGAGCCCUGCUGAAGGAUCAUUAUGACAACCUUUUAUUAGAGACUUUUGUAGUAUUUAUCCAUAAACAAUAUCACGUAAGCAGUGUGCUAAGUGUAGUGAGUUUGUCUGGCCUGCUAAGAGUUGCUGUUACAACAGAGUAAACCCUUUGCCAGUUUGCAUUGAAGGGGUUUUAGUGGUUGCAAGCCAGGUGGAUUUUUGUGUUAAAGUGCACCCAAACACACUUUUGCAGCAGGAACUGGGAUCUCAGCUCUUGUGCUUAUAGUUCCCUUUGUGAUGAGCUAAUCACUGUAUCUGCUCACAAAAUUUUUUUAAAAUAUCAAGGAAAAAUUCUUUCAAAUGGAAGCCACCUUUGUCAAGCUGAUGCAAGUAAAGCCUUAAACUGACAUACCUUGCCCUGUCUCCUCCACUUUGGUAGUGAAGAUUACUGCACACUUGCAGUACUGCCCAUUCCAUCUCCUUGCACUGAAGUUGAGGCUCCUCCCACACUGUCUGAAAUGCUGUAGUUAACAUUUUUCCUUAUCCCCACUCAUAUGUACAAAGGGUGAAACUGGGGGGAGAUCAGAAAACUUGAACAUCCCUGCAGUUCUUCCCUUCUGUGCCUUUACAGUAGGACACAGCACCAUUCAUGACUUAAAAAAAACUAAGCAAACUAGUCUAUAGGAGCUGGAUCCACAAAAGGACUGUAUCUGAGUAGUUACUCCAUGGGUAAUUGGAGCUAAUACAUUUAUUUUUUUUGUAAUUUGUAAUGCACAUUGAGCUCUACAGCUGAAGCACUAGAUAAAUGCAAUAUACUAGUCCCAUUUUGCAUAUAGAAGAAAUGGAGACCAGUUGGGUGGUUUGUCUGGGAGGCACUUUGUAUUAGAAGAUUAGCUAAAAGCCAUAUGAUCAUGCAAUUAAAGUUUAUCAGAAGUCACAUACAUAGAGCUAAGAUUAAUAUUUAAUGUGGAAUUGGUAGCGUUUCUCCUAAUGUAGCUUUGAAAAGCUAAUUGCUCAACAUGCCCAGGGAUGUCCAACACGCUACAUCUGGUCACUUUUUCUGUAAGCACAGGGCAAGAGCUAUGGUGCUCAGUAGCUGGGAAUUGGGGUUAUUUUUAAUUGCUGGUGAGAUCAAGAAACUUAUUACCUACUAAAAGAUGAUACACAUACAAGAUGAGUACCAAGUCUCCAUUUCCACUCCAGCACCAGCUGCUUACAUUGCAAAGGAGCUGUAGAAAUUUGGAUGCUCACUCUGAAGGCUGAAAAUCUCACUGAGGUAUUUCCUGGCCUGAUACAUAAAGCUACUCCCAAUCCUAUCAUAUGCAAACUUUUUAAUAGAUGGAGUAAAAUAUUCCUGUACGGUGAGUCAAUUAAAAUAACUGGAGUCCUUUUUAGUUACACCUGUAGAAUCUCUUGCUGUUGCUUUCCCGGGGUCAGGGAGAGAAAGCUAUGUUGUUCCACUAGAUGGUGCUGUAUAAUUUCUCUUUUGCCUUAACUGGCAAGGAAGUGCCCAAUAAAGGCACUGGUCUGUGUUCUUUCUCAGAAACUAACCACAUUUGAAUCUGUGCCAACUGGCCACUAGCACAACAUUUUAAGGAAUUAUGAAUAACCUCUGACCAGCUAUAAUUUAGAGGCAGAGCAGACCAGUAGGGGAACUGUCCUGGCUCACUGUUGCUAGACUCCAAUAACCCACUAGCACUUUUUUGAAAUAAAAAUAGGCAAGGUAAGUUUUUUGACCUGGUCUUUGAGAAGUGCUGUAUUUUAGCAAGGUUUUGGUUUAUUGCUCUUUGUCCUCCCUUCUCCUCCUUUGGGUUCUUAGCUAGUGAAAGCUUUAAUAAGCUGCUUGUUACACUUUAGGUUUCCCUCUCUUCUCCCUCCCCCCCCCCAACUUAUUCGGUGCCCUCCCCUAUUUUUAAAUUAUCUGUUGCUUGAACUGACCAACACCUCGUGCACUGCUCUGAACAUGUUUUAAACACCGCUAUACCCAGUAUAUAUUCCCACUAGCACAUUCGGGAGCAUUCAAGUUAGAUAGAAAUCCCCAUUUACAUUUUUGACUAAAUUAUGCACAGUCCAAUAAUUUAAAUCACAUUAUCACUGUGCCUGCAGCAGCCAGCGCAAUGGUGGUUGUAGACAUUUUAAUUGGGAAGGGCUCAUUCCCUUCAGAAAAGCUGUACAGCUUCUUGGGGGGGAAAGCAUCUAGGGGUGGUAGUUACCACCACCUGACCUCCCCUGUGUACAAUUUUUUUUUUACUAAGGGUUUUACCAGGUGUCACUGAACUAAAUUAUACUGCCAUCAUUGGGUUAUAAACAAAGCACUCUAAAGAGAAGAGGGGGGGAAAAAAAACAACACACUUCUAGCAUUCUCUUUAGCACUUACACUUUUUAGUAUUUUUACAACCCCCAACUAUUUAAUUCCCUUCAAACUCUUCAGUGUUUAUUUGUACAAAACUCCUUUUAACUUCUCAUUCUCUUUCCUUAAAUUACUCACUAAUUCUCCUCAAGAAGCAGGAUGCUUCAGGGACCUGCCGAUUGGCUGCCUUCUGCUCUCUUCCCAUAUGCAUCUCACCUUCACAAAAGAUCGAAUUUUGCUCUAAGAGAGCGGCAUCUGGUUGAGAAUGUUAUUCACUGCGCCAUGGGAAAGGGCGGGGGGAAAUCAGAACACAGCACUGGUACAGCACAGCAUAGCACACACUAAGGGUGCACAGAACAAUUAUCAUUUCUGUCCAUUAGUUGUACGGAGAGUUUGCCUCAAAUGGACCAUCUGACAUUGCCACAGCUCUCCAGAAGAAAGAGACCAGACCCAGAAGAAAGGGACUCCCCUGUGCUGCUCUCACCUCAGGAACUUUGGAUGCUACUUUUGCCAGCACAGCAACCCUUACUAACAACAGUCCCCUAGUUUGAGAGCCGUGCCACUAACAGCGAGCACAAAAGUUGAAGACAGAUCUGCUUUGUUCAUUGAGGAAGGAACUCCCAGAUAAGUUUCUUUGUAUCAUUUAGAUUUUGUUACAGUGGUAACAAAACCUGAACAGCAGGCAGGUGUAUUCAGACUGCAAAGACUCCAGUUUACACAGGAUCUCUAGAUCUACAGGCAAAUCCUAUAAUUAAACACAUUUCCUGAUGUAUGUCAUUAAAGGGGCCCCUGCUAGGAUGUGUGUAUAAACAUUCGAAGUAAUCAAAACAGGAGUAUGAGCUUGGAUCUCCUACCCCCAGCUGUGUAUUCUAACUGCCAUGCUAUAGACUAGUGGCCCCCAACGUGGUGCCUGCAAGUGCCAUGGCGCCCACCAGAGCAUCUAUGUACGCCCGUGUACUGGCCGGCGGAGAAGCAUCCGCCGAAAUGCCGCUGAUCUUGGCAGCAUUUCAGCGGCAACGCCUCUUAAUGACGCUGCUUCUCGGCAGCAACACCUCUUGACUUUGCCACUUCUCAGCGGCAUUUCGGCGGAUGCCUUCUCUGCUGGCCACAGUCCUCGGUGGCUCGUCAUCCAGCACCCGCCACACUGAAAAGGUUGGCGACCACUGCUAUAGACUUAUUCUCAAUCUCUGGCCCAAUCCAUAUUUAUCUAUCAGAAGUGGAACAGGAAAGUUCAUAGAUUCAAAGGCCAGAAGGGACCAUUGUGACAUCUAGUCUGACCUGUAUAGCCCAGGCCGCAGAACUUCCCAAAAUAAGUCCUAGA